GAUUAAUGAACUUGUUAAAGUAUAUAUUUUGAAAAUAUAAAAAAGAGAAAUCUCUAUUAAUCUU
rnacentral:tRNA from 1 species